CACGGUGCGCGCACCCACUGACCUGCGCCCACUGUCUGGCACUCCCUAGUGAGAUGAACCCGGUACCUCAGAUGGAAAUGCAGAAAUCACCCGUCUUCUGCGUUGCUCACGCUGGGAGCUGUGGACCAGAGCUGUUCCUAUUCGGCCAUCUUGGCUCCUCCCCCCAGUUUGGGCACCUCCUGAACCCGUACGUCAUCCGUUAUGGUCCCCACAGCCACAGCCUUUCUGUUUUCCCGGUCAGGAAGCUUUAUGUUCUGGAUCAUCCAGGAGAGGGACAGAGGUGGUCGGUUGGUGCGACUCAUAAACAACCUCUUCAGCACAACCUGGUUGAAUGUGGAGUUGUUCCGUCUGACCAGAAACCUGUACAGUUUGACCAACAGCCUCAGGGUGUUGGUGUCCCUCUGUUGCCCAGGCUGGAGUGCAGUGGCAAGACUGGCUCACUGCAACCUCCACCUCCUGGGAUCAAGCGAUCCUCCCAUCUCAUCCUCCAGGAGCUGGGACUAAAGAAAGAAACUUAUAAUUCACACUUUUGUUGAUGAGGAGACCAGGACAGAAGAAGCAAGAGAAAGAGAAAUUGAUCAGAAUCUACUGACAGUUCUUCCUGUCUGGCUGUGUAAUGGAUUAGCAUAGAGACGAGCAGCACACCUCUGUCAGAAAACCUAAAUUUAAGUCACAUCUCGGGGCUCUAACAAUUUACCACCAACAGCGUCUUUGGAGCUCUGAAGAAGAUCCUGAUUUUCUCAAAAACAAGUCAUUGAGUUCUACACUGUAAAGCAAGACAUGGAUUACUACAUCCUAUAUUUUGACAGUUGACCAUUAAACAACACAGGUUUGAACUGAGUGGAUCCACUUAUAUGCAUACGUGCAUUUUCUCCUGACUCGGCCACCCCUGAGACAGCAAGACCAAUCACUCCUCUUUGACUUCCUCCUCAUUUUACUCAAUGUGAAGACCACCAGGAUGAAGACCUUUAUGAUGAUCCACUUCCACUUAAUGAAUAGUAAAGAUAUAUUUCUUAUUAUUUUCUUUAGAACUUUUUCUCUAGCUUACUUUAUUGUAAAUAUACAGUAUAUAAUACAUAUUCAAAAUACAUGUUAAUCAACUGUUUAUGUUAUCAGUACGGCUUCUGGUCAACAGUAGCCUAUUAGUAGUUACAUUUUGGGGGAGUCAAAAGUUACACACAGAUUUUUGAGUGUGCAUGGGGUUAGAGUCCCUAACCUUCAUGUUGUCCAAGGGUCAAGUGUAUAAUGUUUAUUUAAGCAGAGACUUAUUUUAGUGUAUUUAAAUUUUUGGUCACAGAUUUUUUGACUUCUGUGGGUAGGUAAUGAGCCAAGGCUCUAAUUUUUUUUUUUUUUUUUUUUUUUUGUGGGGAGCCUUAAGCCUGGAUUUGGGUCACAUUAUAUAAGGAUGCUAUUAAUUUAAGUAGUAGAGCGGCAGGCUAUAAUUGACUUUGUUGAGUUCCAGGUCCUGUAAGUACAUGGCUUCCAACAGAGUUUCCAUUCUCUUUAUGGUCGAUGGAGAUGCUCACCUUGAGCAUGGCCAUAUAUUUUAUAAUAGUUUUUUUUUUAAAAACAUAUCAUUAUCAUUGCAAUAAAUUACAAAUAUAGAAUAAAGCAAUUUCCUUAACUUAUUCUACUAUUUUGAAAUAUGUCAAUUGUCAUUAUAUACACAUUUAAAGAAACACAUACACAUGCACACACACACAUCAUAGUACUGAGCUUUUCAAUGUUGUAUCUUUUCAAGCAGACCCUUACCAUUGGGCAUGCAAGUGUGUAUGUAGGCAAAGUGGUGCUAAGUGGCACUACUGGUCUUAAAAAGUCUUAUUGAAUUUUUAAUACUUAAAAAAUACCUUUCAUUUUUGUACAAUAUAUAUUGACCUUCAUUUUACUAAAUAUCACAUUUCACAAAAGAUCUUAGCUAAUUGCAAUAAUUGAGUAAACAAGAAUAUAAAGUAUAAUAUGCUUUUAAAGGAUGACAAGGUAAUUUCAAGCUCUUUUAGAAACAUUUUACAGCAGAUGUUUGCAUAUAAUGUGCUAAUUUCAAAUGGUGCUUAUUUAAUUCUUGGAGGAAGCUAUGUCAAUUAUUCUCCAUUUGGAGAAACUAUACGUCCUUUAGAAUGACCCCAAGUAUCUCAGAGCCUUUUAAAAAAUAAUGUCUUCUAUUUUAAAGAUAUUUCAACCAUUUUUAGCAGACUCAGUAGCUAAACUCAAAAAGUAGCAAUGUAGUGGAAAGAGAACACAUUUUAAUGCUAAGCAAAUCUGUGAUCUGAAACCUACCUUCUAUUAUUUUCUAAUUGUUUGAACUUAGGCAAAAUUAACUUCUCUGGGUCUAAUUUUUAACAUAUUUUUUAAGGGAAGAUAACAAUGGCUAUCUAAUUUGUAGAACUCUGAGUGGUUUAAUUGAGAUAAUGAGUAUAAAUUUCAUUAUAUGGGACUGGCACAGAAUUGAUGUUCAAUAUGUGUUAGUUUCAGUUCUAUUUAUCCAACAUCUGUGAGAUUUUAUCCUAAAAUGUAAAUGUGACGAUUAUGUGCAUCUCCAUCCAGUCAGCCUUAAUGAGUAAGAUUAUGCUUACCAGCUCUUGUAUCCCUUCAUGUCAGAACAAUAAAAGCUGGAUCAAAAAUAG
rnacentral:lncRNA from 1 species